rnacentral:rRNA from 1 species
GAUGAACGCUAGCUACAGGCUUAACACAUGCAAGUCGAGGGGAAACGAUAGAGAAAGCUUGCUUUUUCUAGGCGUCGACCGGCGCACGGGUGAGUAACGCGUAUCCAACCUGCCCAUCACUUGGGGAUAACCUUGCGAAAGUAAGACUAAUACCCAAUGACGUCUCUAGAAGACAUCUGAAAGAGAUUAAAGAUUUAUCGGUGAUGGAUGGGGAUGCGUCUGAUUAGCUUGUUGGCGGGGUAACGGCCCACCAAGGCGACGAUCAGUAGGGGUUCUGAGAGGAAGGUCCCCCACAUUGGAACUGAGACACGGUCCAAACUCCUACGGGAGGCAGCAGUGAGGAAUAUUGGGUCAAAUGGACGAGAGUCUGAACCAGCCAAGUAGCGUGCAGGAUGACGGCCCUAUGGGUUGUAAACUGCUUUUAUAAGGGAAUAAAGUGAGUCUCGUGAGGCUUUUUUGCAUGUACCUUAUGAAUAAGGACCGGCUAAUUCCGUGCCAGCAGCC